CCUGCCGGACCUGACUGCUAUCGGAUUGGUACUAAGCCAUGCGAGUCGUUGUAGCAAUACAAGGCGGACGGCUCAGUAACACGUAGUCAACCUAACCUAUGGACGUGGAUAACCUCGGGAAACUGAGAAUAAACCGCGAUAGAUCAUUAUGCCUGGAAUGGCUUAUGGUUCAAACAAUUUAUUGCCGUAGGAUGGGACUGCGGCCUAUCAGCUUGUUGGUGAGGUAAUGGCCCACCAAGGCUAUAACAGGUACGGGCUCUGAGAGGAGAAGCCCGGAGAUGGGUACUGAGACACGGACCCAGGCCCUAUGGGGCGCAGCAGGCGAGAAACCUUAGCAAUGUGCGAAAGCACGACUAGGUUAAUCCGAGUGAUUUCUGUUGAAGAAAUCUUUUGUCAGUCGUAAAACCACAGACGAAUAAGGGGUGGGCAAGUCUGGUGUCAGCCGCCGCGGUAAUACCAGCACCUCGAGUGGUCAGGAGGUUUAUUGGGCCUAAAGCAUCCGUAG
rnacentral:rRNA from 1 species